rnacentral:tRNA from 1 species
GCCGGUGCCGUAGCGGUGCCUUACUUCGCUUAGGACGAUGAAAUGCCGGUUCGAAUCCGGCCCGUUGGCU